rnacentral:rRNA from 1 species
CGUAGGGUGCGAGCGUUAAUCGGAAUUACUGGGCGUAAAGCGUGCGCAGGCGGUUUUGUAAGACAGAUGUGAAAUCCCCGGGCUCAACCUGGGACCUGCAUUUGUGACUGCAAGGCUAGAGUACGGUAGAGGGGGAUGGAAUUCCGCGUGUAGCAGUGAAAUGCGUAGAUAUGCGGAGGAACACCGAUGGCGAAGGCAAUCCCCUGGACCUGUACUGACGCUCAUGCACGAAAGCGUGGGGAGCAAACAGGAUUAGAUACCCUGGUAGUCCACGCCCUAAACGAUGUCAACUGGUUGUUGGGUCUUUACUGACUCAGUAACAAAGCUAACGCGUGAAGUUGACCGCCUGGGGAGUACGGCCGCAAGGUUG